AAAAAUGUUGAAUAUUAAAAAAAUCUUUUCGGGUAAUCGCUUACCACCUUCCCUGUUAGAGGUAGAAGAGAGGAGCAUACCAUGGGGUGAAAGACAGCGAGAACUGCAGCUUGUCAGAGAUUACAAGCCUCACAAAGAUGUCCAGCAUCUCAGAAUUAUGCUUCAUGGACCACCAGGUGCUGGAAAGUCCAGCUUCAUCAACUCUGUCGACAGUGCUUUAAGAGGCAAAAUCGCAACUCGAGCUUUGGCAGCGGCAGCCUUUGGUUUCAGUUUCACUAAUGCAUACAGGACAUAUAAAAUUCAGAAAGGAAAUCCAGAAACUUUUUACCCUUUUGUCUUCACUGACACCAUGGGGCUUGAGAGGGGCGAUGAGGGAGCAAUUCAUGU